CGGCACCUGAGGCGCUGAGGGGGCGGAACGUGUGGGAGGGACCGGGAGCGGAGUGUGGCCGUGUCGUGCUCUCGCUGUUUCUCCCUCUUUCUCCUUUUUUUCUCCCUUUUUCUCCCUCUUUCUCCCUCUGUCCUUGUCGCUGUCCCCGGGAGCUGCGGGGCCGUUUGUGAGGGUACCGCCCUCUGCCCGUCCCGCUCGCCCGCUCGCCCUCAGCGGCCCCGGGGCCGUGAGGGCGCCGUGCCCGGAGAUGGCACCCGAGCGGUGCAGCCGCUUCGGACCGGUCAGGAGAGAGGGGGCAAAGCGGGACUGAAACUUUCCUCCCCCGAGAAGAGAAGCAGAAAUGCAAAACGUUGGGAUAAUUAAAUGCAGUUGUCUCGGAGGGGCUCAAGAAUGAUGCAGUGCUAAGGUGGAGUGGCCUCGCAGUCCUUCAUCUGCAGGGAAGGCUGGAGACGCUUCUUCAGGUCCAAAGUCUUCAAGCAAAAUGACCUGCUCCAACAUCAGUGAUGUCCACAGUGGGGCUGAUUAUGUCAGACACACUUAAAGCAGCUUUUCUGCAGCCAGAACCUCUGCCCGCUGAGGCUGCAGCGCAGGGAGCGGAUGCUCGCACAGAGAACAGGGGUGGGCUCUGCCAUCCCACCCUCUGGAGUCACUGCAAACCAGGGAUUUGGCACCGGGACCGCAACGCUGACACACGGGUACGAGCAGCAGGAGGGCAGGGAAGUGGAACAGAGCAUUUCAUCACACGUAGGUGGGCUCGAGGAGCGCUCUGAGCAUCAGCUUUGUAUUAGAGCUGCAGCCCAGCCCCACAGGGCAGCACAACUUGAGUAUCAAGGCCUUUCUGUGCAUCCUGCAGUGUUACCCCUGCACCCAAACCCCGUCUGCCUGCACUUCAACAGUUAUAUUUUCUAAACAGCACAACUUUACACUAAGGUCAUUUUCCAGAGACAGAGGUUUUGCUUUCUCCUGAGCUGUGAUUGUUUCUCCCUCAGCUCUAUAUGAGGUGUGGUACUCUAUUUAACAAAUUAUUAAAUGCUU